UACGUAGGGGGCAAGCGUUGUCCGGAUUUACUGGGCGUAAAGAGCGCGCAGGCGGUCGUUCAAGUCGAGUGUGAAAGCCCCCGGCUCAACUGGGGAGGGUCACUCGAUACUGAUCGACUCGAAGGCAGAAGAGGGAAGCGGAAUUCCCGGUGUAGUGGUGAAAUGCGUAGAUAUCGGAAGGAACACCGGUGGCGAAAGCGGCACGCUGGAUCCCUACUGACGCUGAGGCACGAAAGCCAGGGGAGCAAACGGG
rnacentral:rRNA from 1 species